CAGUUAUCAGUUUUGUAUAAUAAAAUGGCAGCAAGUGAAAUAUCACAAUAAUAUUUCAUGAGAAAAUGUUUUAGAGUGAAAGGUUUUGUCAUUGUAUAUAUUUCGCAGGAUGAAGUUGAAUUGUAAAUACAGUACUUAAUAAAACAUAUUGGAUAUUCAACAAUGAGGGGGUAAGGAGGGGUCCUGAUCCCAAAAUCUUGGGCUUAAAAACACGAAAUCCUGAGGUCCUGAAUUUAAACAAAAUUAAAUCCUGACAUCCGGAACUUCAAAAAAAGAAUUACUGGGUUCCAAAAGGGUCCAUCCCAAAAUCCUGAGCUUAAAAAUACACUAUUUGGGAGUCCUGAUAAAGGUCCUAUCCCCCUCAACAAUGAUUACGGGUAAUUUGCAAUAAAGUUAAUGUUGUAAGGGUAAAUUAUUGUUGUAAACUGAAAUGGCAGAAGUGUUGACACAAAAUUUAUAUCAAACUAUAAUUAACUUUGGUAAAAAAAAAAAGACUUUUUCAGUUGACUAUCUUUUUUAAUGGAUAUAUGAAUCUGACUUGUUAUAUGCUAGUAUUAUUUAUUAGAAAUCCAGAUUUUGAUUGGUAAAUAGUAGGGACAUAAUUUACUCUAUCCCAUUGCUCAGCAGAAGACAAUCUUUUGAAUGUCACCCUCUCUAGAAGACCAAUCAAAAAUCAAUAAUUUGAAGGACAAUUUACAUCAAUAUUUUGAAAGAAAGUGCUACUGUUUUAUGUUAAGCCAAUUUGUGGCCUCAGAACUGUUUCAUGGACCGUCCAAAUAAAAAAAAAGUACAUCUUGCUUUGCUUUUGCUGUUUUUCUAAUAACAAACGUUAUGCAUAUGACAUCAAAGUUCUUAAAAGUACUUUCAAUUAAAAAUCUUAAAGACAAUAAUGAUUGAAUAUCCAGUAUAAUAAAUUGAAUAACACAUAGCGGAG
rnacentral:lncRNA from 1 species